rnacentral:rRNA from 1 species
GAAGCUGGAAUCGCUAGUAAUCGCAGGUCAGCAUACUGCGGUGAAUACGUUCCCGGGUCUUGUACACACCGCCCGUCACACCAUGGGAGCCGGAAAUGCCCGAAGCCAGUGACCCAACCUUAGGGAGGGAGCUGUCGAAGGUGGAGCCGGUAACUGGGGUGAAGUCGUAACAAGGUAUC